GUCUGAGUACAAUAACUGGUUGUCGGAUGGAGACAAGAGUCGAGCGGCGCCGCACCACGCUGACAUAGCUCGCUUUAUACAACAUGAGGGUCUAAGUGCAGCGCGGCGGAACUCUUUGCCGAGGUGGUUUGUAUCGGCCACGCCCCCGCGGCCACACGCCCCGCCCACACAACCCACACCCCUACAGCGAGCUAUUGAUGCUUUGUUACAAAUAAAGGAAGCCAGAUCAUUAUCACCUUUACCAGACAUCCAGCCUUUAUUAGACGAACAUAAUAAUUUGUCAGACGCCCGCGUUAUCUACAACCUUGUGGACAGACAUUUGAGAACUAUGGAAUCUGACGCUCAGUAAGAAGUUGGAGCCGCGAGGUGUCGCAAAUAUCGCAAUUAGACAGCAAGUUGCUGGAGUUGUUGCGUGCGCUGCGCGUGCGCCGCCCCCUGCCUACAUACACCAAGUGGUGUGGCAAUGACACAUGCAAACCUAUAAAGAUUGCU